rnacentral:rRNA from 1 species
GAUGAACGCUGGCGGCGUGCCUAAUACAUGCAAGUCGAGCGAACAGAUGAGGAGCUUGCUCCUCUGACGUUAGCGGCGGACGGGUGAGUAACACGUGGAUAACCUACCUAUAAGACUGGGAUAACUUCGGGAAACCGGAGCUAAUACCGGGUAAUAUAUUGAACCGCAUGGUUCAAUAGUGAAAGACGGUUUUGCUGUCACCUAUAGAUGGAUCCGCGCCGCAUUAGCUAGUUGGUAAGGUAACGGCUUACCAAGGCAACGAUGCGUAGCCGACCUGAGAGGGUGAUCGGCCACACUGGAACUGAGACACGGUCCAGACUCCUACGGGAGGCAGCAGUAGGGAAUCUUCCGCAAUGGGCGAAAGCCUGACGGAGCAACGCCGCGUGAGUGAUGAAGGUCUUCGGAUCGUAAAACUCUGUUAUUAGGGAAGAACAAAUGUGUAAGUAACUAUGCACGUCUUGACGGUACCUAAUCAGAAAGCCACGGCUAACUACGUG